UGCAUCUCAACUCGACCUGAUAUCA
rnacentral:rRNA from 1 species